AGAAGAGGGUUCCGUUACAGUGAAAGUUUUAAAAUAAAUAUUCGAUAAACUUAAUGUUGGCUUAAAUUGGCCAGCAUACUAUCCUGUGGCGGAAGACCAUAUUGGGUCGAGUUAUUUUCAAAAUGACAUGAGAUUGGGUGGGCUGAAUCAUGUUUGAAGUGGCGUAAAACUGGUUGUGCCAAGUCACAAUUGAGACCCGUGGACGCUGUACCUGUACGCUUUAAGUGAAUUAGUUGUGUAUUUCUAACUGCUCGAGUUUUUGGGAUUAAUGAUUAGCGCCAACGAUCUGACAAGUGGUAUCGUAUCAGAGUCAAUGGUCACGGAUUCGAUUCCCGCAUAUUGUAAAUAUGUGCAGAUGCUGGAGGGAGGAUUGUUCGCUUAAUUGGACCAGCAUGCUGUGGCGUAAGGUUGGACGUGCUGAGACACAAUAGAGAGCAGUUUGCCCCUUUUUAAAAAAAUACUGCUACAAAUUUAUAUUUAUAAUACUUUUGAUAUAAUUACAAUCAUGAUGUGAAAAAUAUUCAUAUGAAUUAAGAUGUUAUAUGAGUUGACUACUUUUUAUAUUUUUUAAAAAAACUUAUAUUGUAUAAUAUAUAUGAAAAUAUUUAGAUAUUUAAAUUUUAUGUAGAGUGAGUUUAAGUAGAGUGUUUUUAAAAAUAUGGAUAUAUGAAUUUGUUAGAAUAAUAAUCAAAAUUUAAUUUAAAAUUUAGUUAGAGAUAAAGUAUAUCAAAAGUAUAUAUUGAUUAUAUUUAUAAAUUUAUGACUUGGUAGCUAUAUAUAGUUAGACAUAAGUUAACUAGAUAAAUAAGUCACAGUAGAUAUGACUGUACAAGACUGAGUGUAUCGCCCAGGGCAUAAUUAAUAAAGUAUUAGUUUAGUUAUAUUGUUUUUUCGUAUUAUAUUUUAUUCUAUUUUAAAUUCUGGGUUACAUGAUCGAUACUAGUAUAAGUACCGGUUUCAACAAUUGAUAUCAGAAAAAAAAAAUCACAUUUUCAACCGAAUUAAUGGUCGUCUUCUAAUUAUUUAUAAAAUAUCAAAAAUAUUUCUAAGUAAUUUUAUAAUAUUUCAUGAUUAAUUACUUUGUAAAUGAGUGGUCUUUACAGUAAAUAUUAUAGAAAAGUUUUAUAAAAAAUAAUUACAUAUAAUAAUAUGUAAAUUUUAGAUUAAAAAUACUAAUC
rnacentral:lncRNA from 1 species